rfam:Gossypium raimondii Chr04_contig_1275, whole genome shotgun sequence.
UGUUAAAAAUUUCAUUUAUUUUUAUGAAUAAAAAUUGACAUAGCUGACAAAAUAAUUAAACUGUGACAUGUGACGUGCCUCUCAUGCUGACGUACAAGAGCCAAGUUUUUUACAAUAGUAAUGGAUGAAAUUUUUAACA